GCUUCCGUAGCUCAAUAGGUAGAGCGGCUCCUUUGUAAGGAGCGGGUUGUGGGUUCGAGUCCGUGCCGGAAGCACCA
rnacentral:tRNA from 1 species